GCCUGCCCACUGACUUGAGUUGAAGGGCCGCGGUAUUUUGACCGUGCAAAGGUAGCAUAAUCAUUAGUCUUUUAAUUGAGGGCUUGUAUGAAUGGUUGGACAAAAAAUAAGCUGUCUCAGUUGCAAUAAUUGAAUUUAACUUUUAAGUGAAAAGGCUUAAAUAUUUUAGAGGGACGAUAAGACCCUAUAAAGCUUUACAAUUAUUUAACUAAAUUAUGAACUGUUAGUAUAAAUUUAAUUUAAUUAAUGUUUGUUUCGUUGGGGCGACGAGAAUAUAAUUUUUGUAACUGUUCUUUUGUAGUUUGUUGCAAUAGUUUUUGGAAAAAGAUUGAUCCUUUAUUAAAGAUUAAAAGAUUAAGUUACUUUAGGGAUAACAGCGUAAUCUUCUUUGAAAGUCCAUAUCGACAAGAAGGGUUGCGACCUCGAUGUUGAAUUAAGAUUUCUUUACGGCGCAGCAGUUGUA
rnacentral:rRNA from 1 species